UACAGAGGUCCCGAGCGUUGUUCGGAUUUAUUGGGCGUAAAGGGUGCGUAGGCGGCGGAGUAAGUUGGGUGUGAAAUCCCGAGGCUCAACCUCGGAAUUGCAUUCAAUACUGCUUCGCUCGAGUACUGGAGAGGAGGCUGGAAUUUACGGUGUAGCAGUGAAAUGCGUUGAUAUCAAUAGGAACUCCGGUGGCGAAGGCGGCAUGCUGGACCUUUUCUGACGCUGAGGCGCGAAAGCCAGGGGAGCAAACGGG
rnacentral:rRNA from 1 species